CCGCCAGAGAAUUACGAGCAACAAGCUUAAAACUCAAAGGACUUGACGGUGUCCCACAUCGACCUAGAGGAGCCUGUCCUAUAAUCGAUACCCCCCGUUCCACCCAACCCCUACUAGCAAUAAACCAGCCUAUAUACCGCCGUCGACAGUCUACCCCAUGAGGGUCUAACAGUAGAUACAAUAGUUAACAACUAAUACGUCAGGUCAAGGUGUAGCAAAUGUAAGGGAAGAGAUUGGCUACAUUUUUUAUUUUAAAAAACACGAAAUGCAUCAUGAAACACUGCAUGAAGGCGAAUUUAGCAGUAAAAU
rnacentral:rRNA from 1 species